GACGAACGCUGGCGGCGUGCCUAAUACAUGCAAGUAGAACGCAGUUGCGAACGGGUGAGUAACGCGUAGGUAACUGCCUCAUAGCGGGGGGUAACUAUUGGAAACGAUAGCUAAUACCGCAUACUGUGAGAUAGACCUGCUUUGUAUUAGCUAGUUGGUGAGGUAAAGGCUCACCAAGGCGACGAUACAUUGCCGAACUGAGAGGGUGGUUGGCCAACCUGGGACUGGGACACGGCCCAGACUCCCUCAGGAGGCAGCAGGAGGGAAUCUUUGGAAAUGGACGGAAGUCUGAACGAGCACCGCCGCGGGAGUGAAGAAGGUUUUUGGAGCGUAAAGCUCUGUUGUUAGAGAAGCGGUACCUAACCAGAAAGCGACGGCUAACUACGUGCCAGCAGCCGCGGUAAUAC
rnacentral:rRNA from 1 species